rnacentral:rRNA from 1 species
UAAGGCUUUAAUUGAGUGCUAAGAGAAUGGUUUAACAAAAAUUAACUUUCUUUAAAUUUAUAAUAGAAGUUGAUUUAAAAAUGAAAAAGUUUUUAUUUAUUUUUGGGACAAGAAGACCCUAUGAAUUUUUUUUAUGGUUUUAUUUAAAAUUUUUUAAAAAUAAAAUGAAGUGAAUUUAUAAGUUGAUUGGGGUGAUUUUUAAAGAAUAUUUAUCUUUAAAAGCUGUAGGAAUUAGAACCAAAAUUUUUGGUUGUUUGAAUAAAAUACUCUAGGGAUAACAGCGUAAUUAUUUUGGAUAGUUCAUAUAGAUAAAAUAGUUUGCGACCUCGAUGUUGGAUUAAGAUAC